rnacentral:rRNA from 1 species
UACGGGGGGGGGCAAGCGUUGUUCGGAAUUACUGGGCGUAAAGGGCUCGUAGGUGGCCAACUAAGUCAGACGUGAAAUCCCUCGGCUUAACCGGGGAACUGCGUCUGAUACUGGAUGGCUUGAGAUUGGGAGAGGGAUGCGGAAUUCCAGGUGUAGCGGUGAAAUGCGUAGAUAUUGGGAGGAACACCAGCGGCGAAGGCGGCUCACUGGACCGGAACUGACGCUGAGGCGCGAAAGCGUGGGGAGCAAACGGG